rnacentral:rRNA from 1 species
CCUACGGGAGGCAGCAGUGAGGAAUAUUGGUCAAUGGUCGCAAGACUGAACCAGCCAUGCCGCGUGCAGGAUGAAGGCCCUCUGGGUUGUAAACUGCUUUUCUCAGGGAAUAAACCCUUCUACGUGUAGAAGGCUGAAGGUACCUGAGGAAUAAGCACCGGCUAACUCCGUGCCAGCAGCCGCGGUAAUACGGAGGGUGCAAGCGUUAUCCGGAUUUAUUGGGUUUAAAGGGUGCGCAGGCGGGACCUUAAGUCAGUGGUGAAAUCCCUUCGCUUAACGAAGGAACUGCCAUUGAUACUGAGGUUCUUGAAUCUAGUUGACGUUAGUGGAAUGUGUCAUGUAGCGGUGAAAUGCUUAGAUAUGACACAGAACACCGAUCGCGAAGGCAGCUAACGAAGCUAGUAUUGACGCUCAGGCACGACAGCAUGGGGAGCAAACAGGAUUAGAUACCCUGGUAGUCCAUGCCGUAAACGUUGAUCACUCGACAUUGGCGAUAUACUGUCAGUGUCGACGACGAAGUAGUUAGUUGUAAGUCCGUACCGUUGGGGUUAGGUACGUUCGUUCGCGAGGUUAGGAACGUACGAAGUUAGAGUUAGACGGCGUUGAGACGNGCCGACGGACGACGACGAGGGAGGUUAGG